rnacentral:tRNA from 1 species
GGAGAAGUGGCCGAGUGGUUGAAGGCGCACGACUCGAAAUCGUGUAUAUAAUUUAAUUAUAUCGAGGGUUCGAAUCCCUCCUUCUCCGCCA